rnacentral:rRNA from 1 species
UACAGAGGGUGCAAGCGUUAAUCGGAAUUACUGGGCGUAAAGCGUGCGCAGGCGGUUCUAUAAGACAGAUGUGAAAUCCCCGGGCUCAACCUGGGAACUGCAUUUGUGACUGUAGAGCUGGAGUACGGCAGAGGGGGAUGGAAUUCCGCGUGUAGCAGUGAAAUGCGUAGAUAUGCGGAGGAACACCGAUGGCGAAGGCAAUCCCCUGGGCCUGUACUGACGCUCAUGCACGAAAGCGUGGGGAGCAAACAGG